GACGAACGCUGGCGGCGUGCUUAACACAUGCAAGUCGAACGGAAAGGCCCUGCUUUUGUGGGGUGCUCGAGUGGCGAACGGGUAAGUAACACGUGAGUAACCAGCCCUUGACUUUGGGAUAACUUCAGGAAACUGGGGCUAAUACCGGAUAGGAGCUCCUGCUGCAUGGUGGGGGUUGGAAAGUUUCGGCGGUUGGGGAUGGACUCGCGGCUUAUCAGCUUGUUGGUGGGGUAGUGGCUUACCAAGGCUUUGACGGGUAGCCGGCCUGAGAGGGUAACCGGCCACAGUGGGACUGAGAUACGGCCCAGAGUCCUACGGGAGGCAGCAGUGGGGAAUAUUGCACAAUGGGCGGAAGCCUGAUGCAGCAACGCCGCGUGCGGGAUGACGGCCUUCGGGUUGUAAACCGCUUUCGCCUGUGACGAAGCGUGAGUGACGGUAAUGGGUAAAGAAGCACCGGCUAACUACGUGCCAGCCGCCGCGGUAACAC
rnacentral:rRNA from 1 species